GAGGGCAUAGCUCAAGUGGUAGGAGCACAGGCUUAGCAUGCAUGAGGUCCUCGGUUCAAUCCGUGAGAUCCUGGGUUCAAUCCCCAGUACCUGCA
rnacentral:tRNA from 1 species